AGAGUUUGAUCCUGGCUCAGAUUGAACGCUGGCGGCAGGCUUAACACAUGCAAGUCGAACGGUAACAUGGGUGCUUGCACCUGAUGACGAGUGGCGGACGGGUGAGUAAUGUAUGGGGAUCUGCCUGAUGGAGGGGGAUAACUACUGGAAACGGUAGCUAAUACCGCAUAAUGUCCACGGACCAAAGCGGGGGACCUUCGGGCCUCGCACCAUCAGAUGAACCCAUAUGGGAUUAGCUAGUAGGUAAGGUAACGGCUUACCUAGGCGACGAUCCCUAGCUGGUCUGAGAGGAUGAUCAGCCACACUGGGACUGAGACACGGCCCAGACUCCUACGGGAGGCAGCAGUGGGGAAUAUUGCACAAUGGGCGCAAGCCUGAUGCAGCCAUGCCGCGUGUAUGAAGAAGGCCUUCGGGUUGUAAAGUACUUUCAGCGGGGAGGAAGGCGUUGAGGUUAAUAACCUCAACGAUUGACGUUACCCGCAGAAGAAGCACCGGCUAACUCCGUGCCAGCAGCCGCGGUAAUAC
rnacentral:rRNA from 1 species